CCUACGGGGGGCAGCAGUGGGGAAUAUUGGGCAAUGGGCGCAAGCCUGACCCAGCAACGCCGCGUGAAGGAAGAAGGCCUUCGGGUUGUAAACUUCUUUUGUCAGGGACGAAGAAAGUGACGGUACCUGACGAAUAAGCCACGGCUAACUACGUGCCAGCAGCCGCGGUAAUACGUAGGUGGCAAGCGUUAUCCGGAUUUACUGGGUGUAAAGGGCGUGUAGGCGGGAGAGCAAGUCAGACGUGAAAUUCCAGGGCUCAACCCUGGAACUGCGUUGGAAACUGUUCUUCUUGAGGGAUGGAGAGGCAGGCGGAAUUCCGUGGGUAGCGGGGAAAUGCGUAGAGAUACGGAGGAA
rnacentral:rRNA from 1 species